GAUGAACGCUGGCGGCGUGCCUAAUACAUGCAAGUCGAGCGAACGGACGAGAAGCUUGCUUUUCUGAUGUUAGCGGCGGACGGGUGAGUAACACGUGGAUAACCUACCUAUAAGACUGGGAUAACUUCGUGAAACCGGAGCUAAUACCGGAUAAUAUUUUGAACCGCAUGGUUCAAAAGUGAAAGACGGUCUUGCUGUCACUUAUAGAUGGAUCCGCGCUGCAUUAGCUAGUUGGUAAGGUUACGGCUUACCAAGGCAACGAUGCAUAGCCGACCUGAGAGGGUGACCGGCCACACUGGAACUGAGACACGGUCCAGACUCCUACGGGAGGCAGCAGUAGGGAAUCUUCCGCAAUGGGCGAAAGCCUGACGGAGCAACGCCGCGUGAGUGAUGAAGGUCUUCGGAUCGUAAAACUCUGUUAUUAGGGAAGAACAUAUGUGUAAGUAACUGUGCACAUCUUGACGGUACCUAAUCAGAAAGCCACGGCUAACUACGUG
rnacentral:rRNA from 1 species